GCGAUGAAGGACGUGGCACUCUGCGAUAAGCCAUGGGGAGCCGAGAGCAGGCUUUGAUCCGUGGAUUUCCGAAUGGGGCAACCCACCCCUUUGGGGUAUCCAUUUCUGAAUUCAUAGGAAAUGGAGGCGAACCCGGUGAACUGAAACAUCUCAGUAACCGGAGGAAAGGACAUCAACCGAGACUCCGUUAGUAGUGGCGAGCGAACGCGGACUAGCCCAGUGACUUGAAGUUUCUAACCAGAACGGCAUGGAAAGGCCGGCCACAGCGGGUGACAGCCCCGUAUGGGUGUUGAUGCCCUGGCCGCCGAAGCCGAGGUCAAG
rnacentral:ncRNA from 1 species